ACUCAAAUGAAUUGACGGGGACCCGCACAAGCGGUGGAUGAUGUGGUUUAAUUCGAUGCAACGCGAAAAACCUUACCUACACUUGACAUGCCAGAAAUCCUGCAGAGAUGUGGGAGUGCCGCAAGGAAUCUGGGCACAGGUGCUGCAUGGCUGUCGUCAGCUCGUGUCGUGAGAUGUUGGGUUAAGUCCCGCAACGAGCGCAACCCUUGUCACUAGUUGCUACAUUUAGUUGGGCACUCUAGUGAGACUGCCGGUGACAAACCGGAGGAAGGUGGGGAUGACGUCAAGUCCUCAUGGCCCUUAUGUGUAGGGCUACACACGUCAUACAAUGGUCGGUACAGAGGGUUGCCAACCCGCGAGGGGGAGCUAAUCUCACAAAGCCGAUCGUAGUCCGGAUCGCAGUCUGCAACUCGACUGCGUGAAGUCGGAAUCGCUAGUAAUCGUGGAUCAGCAUGUCACGGUGAAUACGUUCCCGGGUCUUGUACACACCGCCCGU
rnacentral:rRNA from 1 species